UACGUAGGUGGCAAGCGUUGUCCGGAUUUACUGGGCGUAAAGAGCGCGCAGGCGGUCGUUCAAGUCGCGUGUGAAAGCCCCCGGCUCAACUGGGGAGGGUCACGCGAUACUGAUCGACUCGAAGGCAGGAGAGGGUAGUGGAAUUCCCGGUGUAGUGGUGAAAUGCGUAGAUAUCGGGAGGAACACCAGUGGCGAAGGCGGAUCUCUGGGCCGAUACUGACGCUGAGGAGCGAAAGCGUGGGGAGCGAACAGG
rnacentral:rRNA from 1 species